CGGCGGACGGGUGAGUAACGCGUGGGUAACCUGCCUCAUACAGGGGGAUAACAGUUGGAAACGGCUGCUAAUACCGCAUAAGCGCACAGUACCGCAUGGUACGGUGUGAAAAACUCCGGUGGUAUGAGAUGGACCCGCGUCUGAUUAGGUAGUUGGCGGGGUAACGGCCUACCAAGCCGACGAUCAGUAGCCGACCUGAGAGGGUGACCGGCCACAUUGGGACUGAGACACGGCCCAA
rnacentral:rRNA from 1 species